UACGUAGGUGGCAGGCGUUAUCCGGAUUUAUUGGGCGUAAAGGGAACGCAGGCGGUCUUUUAAGUCUGAUGUGAAAGCCUUCGGCUUAACCGGAGUAGUGCAUUGGAAACUGGGAGACUUGAGUGCAGAAGAGGAGAGUGGAACUCCAUGUGUAGCGGUGAAAUGCGUAGAUAUAUGGAAGAACACCAGUGGCGAAAGCGGCUCUCUGGUUUGUAACUGACGCUGAGGUUCGAAAGCGUGGGUAGCAAACAGG
rnacentral:rRNA from 1 species